rnacentral:rRNA from 1 species
CGUGUCGUGAGAUGUUGGGUUAAGUCCCGCAACGAGCGCAACCCCUAUGAUUAGUUGCCCCUUAAAAGGCUCUCUAGUCAGACCGCCCUGUUUAACGGGGAGGAAGGUGGGGACGAGGUCAAGUCAGGAUGGCCCUUUCGUCUAGGGCUGCUCACGUACUACAAUGGUCAGUACAGAGGGACGCAAAGCCUAGAGGUAGAGCAAAUCCCAGAAAACUGAGCCCAGUUCGGAUUGAAGAUUGCCACUUUCCUU